ACGGAAGGCAGCAGUGGGGAAUAUUGCACAAUGGGCGCAAGCCUGAUGCAGCGAUGCCGCGUGAGGGAAGAAGGUUUUCGGAUUGUAAACUAUUGUCGUGAGGGAAGAAAUUUGACAGUACCUCAGGAGGAAGCUCCGGCUAACUAUGUGCCAGCAGCCGCGGUAAUACAUAGGGAGCAAGCGUUAUCCGGAUUUAUUGGGUGUAAAGGGUGCGUAGACGGAGAAGCAAGUUAGUUGUGAAAUCCCUCGGCUUAACUGAGGAACUGCAACUAAAACUACUUCCCUUGAGUGUCGGAGAGGAAAGUGGAAUUCCUAGUGUAGCGGUGAAAUGCGUAGAUAUUAGGAGGAACACCAGUGGCGAAGGCGACUUUCUGGACGAUUACUGACGUUGAGGCACGAAAGUGUGGGGAGCAAACAGGAUUAGAUACCCUGGUA
rnacentral:rRNA from 1 species